rnacentral:rRNA from 1 species
GACGAACGCUGGCGGCGUGCUUAACACAUGCAAGUCGAACGGUAAGGCCCUUCGGGGUACACGAGUGGCGAACGGGUGAGUAACACGUGGGUGAUCUGCCCUGCACUUCGGGAUAAGCCUGGGAAACUGGGUCUAAUACCGGAUAGGACCACUGCCUGCAUGGGUGGUGGUGGAAAGCUUUUGCGGUGUGGGAUGGGCCCGCGGCCUAUCAGCUUGUUGGUGGGGUGAUGGCCUACCAAGGCGACGAGGGGUAGCCGGCCGGAGCGGGUGACCGGCCACACUGGGACUGAGAUACGGCCCAGACUCCUACGGGAGGCAGCAGUGGGGAAUAUUGCACAAUGGGCGCAAGCCUGAUGCAGCGACGCCGCGUGAGGGAUGACGGCCUUCGGGUUGUAAACCUCUUUCAGCACCGACGAAGCGCAAGUGACGGUAGGUGCAGAAGAAGGACCGGCCAACUACGUGCCAGCCGCCGCCGUAA